AUGCUGGAGUGUGGGGGGGACCUCCAGCCCCCCGGGGGGUCCCUGCGCCUCCCCUGCAGAGGGUCUGGCUUCAGUUUUGGCAGCAAUGCCAUGUGUUGGGUCCGCCAGAGACCCGGGCAGGGGCUGGAGUGGCUCGCAGGGAUCUGGGGCAAUGGUGGAGACACCGGCUACACGCCAUCAUUCAAGGGCCAGUUCAGGAUCUCCAGGGACAACGGGCAGAGCUCGGUGACGCUGACCAUGAACAACCUCGAGGACGACGAUUCUGGAUCCUAUUUCUGCGCCAGGGGUUGUGACAAUUAG